AGGUUGGACCCAGAGGUCAGGAUGGUGCCAAAGGAGAAAGAGGAGAAGAUGGUGAACAAGGAGAAGCUGGCUCCCCAGGACCUCCAGGCGAAAAUGGACCACCCGGUCCUCUUGGAAAGAGGGGUCCUGCUGGAACAAGAGGACCAGAGGGGCGUCAAGGAGAGAAAGGAACUAAAGGAGAUCCAGGUGCAGUGGGGCCUCCUGGAAAGACCGGUCCUGUUGGUCCUCAGGGUCAACCAGGAAAA